GCGCAUGCGUGUUAUUGAUUCACUACAUUGAACAAGGCAAGGAAGACCGCUGCUGCAAGAUGUAUCUACAUCUAAUCACAUUGUAUUCCUACAUCUAACCUCUGUACAAAUGACAUGCUGUACCGUGGAGUUAACAAUAAACCCGGAAGUGAUUACACCUGCUGCUACUGCACCUGUCACUGUCCGGUGCAGCCUUAACGUACUCUCAUCAGACAUCGAGAAGGUGUAUUCUAUCAUGAUCAGAAGACGGGAGACUACCAUUGCUGUAGCAUUCACAGACCGCAAGACUAAGAUGUGCGAUGAAGACUGGAGGCCAAUGCUGUGGUGAACUCCUCACUCACAACACCGGAAACCUACCUGCAGUUAUCACUGUUAAAUGUGACUUGUGAUGACAUUGGUGAUUAUACAUGCAUUAUGGCUGUCAGAAAACAGUACCAGACUAUGAAGAUCACGGGACCAGACAAAGCAUACCUGAAGACGUCAGGUAACUCCUGCCCAUUCAUCGACAGCCUCGUUUACCCGAGACACGCACACCGACUGGAGGACACGGUGAGGGAUAACAUGCUUCAUGCUGGUGAGGACUCGAGUAUCAGGUUGGGUAUGGACCUCCGCGGAUGACCCACACAGUUGCCAGCUCCGCAGAUGACCACACAGUCGCCAGCUCCGAAGAAGGAUGCACCUUAGUCACAGGAGGGCGAGAUGUUCAAUUGUUCAACUGUUCUCCACCAUCGGGUUUCUGUCAGACCAUCUCUGAUAUGUCGACUAAAGAAUUUCUCGAGAAGGGUUCGAAUCGAUGUCCAAGAAGAUGCGACAGAUCCAAGAACCAUAAUAUUUUGGGAAGAGGAACAUGAAGACUUCUUUCAGAUGGGUGAAUUUCCUAAAGAUCACACACAAGUACCCGGCGUCGACAUGUUCUGGGUCCAGGUCCUAGUCUGUUUCCUCUGUGUGCUGACUGUGGGCGGAAUCCUGCUCAAAUACUGGAAGACC